GGCCUUUAUCGGUAAAGUGAGCCGGGUAAGGACAUCAAGAACAGCUGCUUUUGCAGGGAUGUCCACCUUCUUUGAGUGGAAAAUUCGCAAGGCACUGGCUAGUGGGACCAUUUCUCUCGGAGUGCGGAGCGCGAGUGUGUGCACGAGCUGUAGACGCUGGACGGCUCGAGCAGUUCUGUUCCUACCGGCUGCCUGCCUACUACCUGGCGUCGCUAGGGAGUUUAUUAGCAAUAGAAACUGCAAUAGAAACUGCAAAACUGCAGAUUAAUAUUGCGA